UUCCAUGACAUAUUUAAUUCCCUCAAUGAAUUUAUUUUAUGCAGAAACCAAGACUUGAUUCCGCAUGGAAUUCUUAGCACCAAGGGUUGUUUUCAUGUUCCCCUUCUCAUAUUAUAAAUAAGGGGGAGCUCAAAUGGGAUGUGCAUGCCAUUUCCUAAGUGUUUAGGAAAAAAAUUAGAAAGAAAAAGGCAAGGAAAGAAAAAAAGGAAAAACAAGAG
rnacentral:lncRNA from 1 species